rnacentral:lncRNA from 1 species
AUAUCUUAGAUAGCCAAAGCCCUUGCAUUAUUCGGAUUGGGCUGGAGUAAUUAAACGAUGGGCUGGUCUGAUGUGUUUUAAGGCUUUCGGUCUGGGCUUCAGAGGAAAAGCCCAGAUGUUUUGGUUGGACCAAUCGACAGGCCAGCCCAUCUGUUUUCUCGGAUUUAUUUGAUGGGUUGAAGAUAAUUUUGGCCCAAACGAAUAAGGCCCAAUGGCCUGUUUGACUAAGAAAUAAUUUUGCAAAUCAGUCCCUGAGUUUCUCUUUAACUAUACUGUGGCCCUGGACAUUUUCCACUUCUUUCAUUUCGGUCCUUACUUUAAUUGCAAAUAAGUCCUUGAACUUUAUUUUUCUUUAAUUUUGGCCCCAAAACUUUGCCAAUCUUUGCAAUCAAUCCUUUCUUCUCUUGACUUCUUAAAUGUGGUUGUUGACAGGAUUUAAUUGAUUCAAAUUCAUGUUUAUUUUUAUCCUUUGUGAUUAUUUGUCAAAUAAAUUGGUGCCUUGACCCUUUUAUUGUUUUGAAGCCAUUUUUACUUCAUUUGAUUACCAUCGAAGGGG